rnacentral:snoRNA from 1 species
ACCUUCUCAGGGUCACACCUGAGGAGUUUCCAGUACUCUACCAGUCUUGACUACUGGAGGGAGAGUCAAUCAGAGGCAUACCCAUUCCAUUCCUAGCUUGGCCAGUAGCUAGCAAGUGGAAGGCAACCUGCUACAAAU